rnacentral:rRNA from 1 species
UACGAAGGGGGCUAGCGUUGCUCGGAAUGACUGGGCGUAAAGGGCGCGUAGGCGGUUUGUACAGUCAGGUGUGAAAUUCCCGGGCUCAACCUGGGGGCUGCACUUGAUACGUAUGGACUGGAGUGGGGAAGAGGGUCGUGGAAUUCCCGGUGUAGCGGUGAAAUGCGCAGAUAUCGGGAAGAACACCCGUGGCGAAGGCGGCUCUCUGGGACGGUACUGACGCUGAGACGCGAAAGCGUGGGGAGCGAACAGG